rnacentral:rRNA from 1 species
GGCCAUGUUGGUUAACAGAUCCUCAUCUGCUGGACGUCUGGCGAUGAUCUUUAUCGGUUGUCGUCAGUUGCCAGCACGUUUACUUUGAGAAAAUUAGAGUGCUAAAAGCAGGCUCACGCCUAUAUAUAUUGCAUGGAAUAAUGAAAUAAGAUCUCGAUUUUAUUUCGUUGGUUUUAGAAAUUGAGAUAAUGAUUAAUAGGAUCAGAGGGGGGCGUACGUACUGUGGUGUGAGAGGUGAAAUUCUUGGAUCGCCACAGGACGAACAGCAGCGAAGGCGUUCGCCAAGAAUGUUUUCAUUAAUCAAGAACGAAAGUUUGAGGUUCGAAGACGAUUAGAUACCGUCCUAGUUCAAACCAUAAACGUUGCCAACUGUCUUUUAGAUGCGGUUAUUUAUAUGACUCAUCUGGCGGAUCUCGAGAAAUCUAAGUUUUUAGGUUCCGGGGGAAGUAUGGUUGCAAAGCUGAAACUUAAAAGAAUUGACGGAAGGACACACAAGAAGUGGAACCUGUGGCCUAAUUUGACUCAACACGGGAAACCUUACUCGGCCAGGACACUUUUAGGAUUGACAGAUUGAGAGCUCUUUCUUGAUUAGGUGGGUGGUGGUGCAUGGUCGUUCGUAGUUCGUGGAGCGAUUUGUCUGAUUAAUUUCGAUAACGAACGAGACUCCGGCUUACUAAAUAGUCUAAAGUUCGAAGGGACUUUUCAAGACUUCUUAGCAGGAUAAGUGG